AUGUAGUAAAACACUGACUACCGGAACACCACCGGAACACCACCAUUUUGUUUGGGGUUGGGGUUAGGUGGUGUUCCGGUGGUGUUCCGGUGGUGUUCCGGUAGUCAGUGUUUUACUACAUGCCCUUAUUUUGU